rnacentral:lncRNA from 1 species
UGCGGUUGGUGUGCGUGUGGUCUGCGCGUGGUCAGUGCGCACUGCGCAGUUCAGCAGCUUCAUUCUUCGUGAGCAAGUGUUCGUGUGUCUGUGUUUUCCCGCGUGUGCUCAGUCAGAACUUCAGAAGAGAGCCUAACAAGUACUUUACAUCUAAUUACUCAUUGUUUCAACGAUUAUUUUACGAUCAUUAUUCGUACCUUUGCGUUAUUCGCGAUUAAUAGGGUGUGCGGAAUUUUCAAUGAAUUGGAAGCAAAUUCGCGUUAUAAGUGAGCCUCGAGGUCGUGGUUUCCAGCGGCAUUUUCGUGGAGGAUCAACAUUGUUCGCUUUGAUUCGGUUUUUCUUUCGUGAGUUUCGUGCCGCUUCGUUACGGUUUGCGUGGACUUCUGAAACUGUUUUCAAAGCAUGUGUUAGUGCUACAUUUUGUCGACUUCUAAAAGACACUAAAGGCUCCAGUGCUUCAGUCUGUUCUGAUGCGGAUUGUCAUAGUGUUCGCGUGGUGAGUGCUUCCAGCUUGGAGUCGGGCAAAUGGAUAACCUUCUCUUCAUUUUCCUGCUUCUCAACUCGCCUGCUAAAAACCAAGGAGCCGCUGAUAGGUAUGCAGACAUAUUUUUUGACAUUUCAAACAUUCAAGGACUCAAAUUUUGAAAAA